AGCCUGAUGAGAGAGGAUGGGGAGAAGGAGCAGAACUCCAUCAACAAACCUCACAUCUGGAGGCACAGCAUGGCCCGGGAGCAUGAAUCUGCUCCUACCCUUCAGCAUGGGCAGAAAUUCAGGCAAUAAAGAGAAUAAUGAGGUCAUUUUGACCCUCCAAAAAGCUUUGGGAAACCUACUGUGCCACCAGCUGCUGUGUCUCUCUUUGGUUCUGUUCUCUCUUAGUUCAUACCAAAUGCUGUUGCAGGUGAUGUUCACGAGGCAGUGAACAGCCACCAGUGAUAAAUAUAAUUUUAUCUGUCAUAAUGAGGCUUGAACCAGUUGGCUCACAUUUGGUGCAAGACCAUUUGUGUCAGAAAUGGUCUCCUUUAAUUUUGAGAAGACUUGGUGAUGUUUUUCCUGCUGGUGCAGGAAACUUGUGUUAUACCUGACUCAUGCUGACGUUCCUCUUAACAACAGUUGCAUUUUCUGUAAUGUGUUGUGAAUAUGAACUCAUAAAAAAGUUCACUUGACUUCGUUCUUCAAUUGUGUGACCCAUGUUGAUUCUCAGAUGCUACAAAUACCUACUCUUGAGCUUGACUACAAUCAGCCUGGCUUGAUUUUAAAACUGACAAGGUGGAAAGGUUACAUGAGCCAAAAAGACCAAGCUUCUCAUCAUGUUUUACCAAUAAAUCAGAAAGAAACAUUGAGACAAGCCCCUUUUUCUCUCCAUUUCUCAGUCACAGUAAGGGGAACAACAUCAGCUCUGCUUUAUAAAGGGUCCUGAAUUUCUUGGUUGGGAGAGGUUGCAGAAGUACAGGCAGUCACUACUGCAGACUGAAGCUCGUAAAAGGUGUUCUGGGUUUGGAGAACAUUCACAUCUAGUCUCCCUUUUAAAUAAAGAGGCUCACAUGAUUAUCUCUGUAAUGAACUGGGACC
rnacentral:lncRNA from 1 species